rnacentral:tRNA from 1 species
GCCGGGAUGGUGGAACGGUAGACACGCUAGCUUUAGGAGCUAGUGCCGCAAGGCGUGGAGGUUCGAAUCCUCUUCCCGGUACCA